rnacentral:piRNA from 1 species
CAAAUUGCUCAUAGUGCAGGUAG